GUUUUCCUUCGUUGCCUAAAUAGCAGGCCUGUGUUGACCCACUGCCGCCAUCGUGUGUCCGCUCGCUGAACAAGAGUCUAGCAGGGAAAUGUAUGGCGAGGUCCUCCUAUUCAACUUUCCGGAAGUUCGGUGCCUGAUUGCUGCCAAAGAUAACACCACCAAGAUAACUAUAAUCAAGACAGGUGAAGAAAACCAGCGAAGGUGCAGGCUUCAUCACUCCAAGCAGUGCCAAACACCUGUGAAAUGAGUCCUUUCUGUUGUAGUUUCCGCAUGAUUCCUAAAGAGGUGCAACUGAUUGAAUGAAACUGUUGAUGUCCAUUUAAAGCUAUAAAUACAUUUGUUGCUAAAUAGUUUCAAACCUUGUUUUAUAUGGAA